GCAAUUUGUUUUUUUAAAGAAAAUCUACUGCUAAACGUUGUACACAGAUGAUUUACCAGAAAAUGACCGCUUGGUGGUGCAAUUUGUAAAAGGAAGAAGACCGGCAUGCCCAGACCUGUUUUAAACAUAUUUCAACAUGUUCAAACGUGUUUGUCUUCUCGUGUGUUUAAAGAGGUGCACCAAUAAAAUUUUGUUUACGUCUUUUA